rnacentral:rRNA from 1 species
AUGCAAGUCGAGGGGAAACGGCAUCAAGCGCUUGCGCCUGAUGGACGUCGACCGGCGCACGGGUGAGUAACGCGUAUCCAACCUGCCCCACACUAAGGGAUAACCCGCAGAAAUGUGGACUAAUACCUUAUAUUUUCCACCAAGGGCAUCGUCGAUGGAACAAAGAUUUAUCGGUAUGGGAUGGGGAUGCGUCCGAUUAGGUUGUUGGCGGGGUAACGGCCCACCAAGCCUUCGAUCGGUAGGGGUUCUGAGAGGAAGGUCCCCCACAUAGGAACUGAGACACGGUCCUAACUCCUACGGGAGGCAGCAGUGAGGAAUAUUGGUCAAUGGGCGAUAGCCUGAACCAGCCAAGUAGCGUGCAGGAAGACGGCCCUAUGGGUUGUAAACUGCUUUUAUGCGGGGAUAAAGGAGUCCACGUGUGGAUUUUUGCAGGUACCGCAUGAAUAAGGACCGGCUAAUUCCGUGCCAGCAGCCGCGGUAAUACGGAAGGUCCGGGCGUUAUCCGGAUUUAUUGGGUUUAAAGGGAGCGUAGGCCGCGUUUUAAGCGUGUUGUGAAAUGUAGACGCCCAACGUCUGCAUCGCAGCGCGAACUGGGACGCUUGAGUACGCGCAACGUUGGCGGAAUUCGUCGUGUAGCGGUGAAAUGCUUAGAUAUGACGAGGAACUCCGAUUGCGAAGGCAGCUGACG